rfam:Thermoplasmatales archaeon I-plasma AMDT3_IPLC00002, whole genome shotgun sequence.
GCGGGGAUAGCCGAGCGGUAAGGCGACGGCCUGCUAAGCCGUUUCCCUAUGGGAGCGGGGGUUCGAUUCCCCCUCCCCGCG